rnacentral:rRNA from 1 species
AAUGAACGCUGGCGGCAUGCCUUACACAUGCCAGUCGAACGGCAUCAUGACCUAGCUUGCUAGGUUGAUGGCGAGUGGCGAACGGGUGAGUAAUGCAUCGGAACGUGCCUUUUAGUGGGGGAUAACGUAGCGAAAGUUACGCUAAUACCGCAUAUUCUCUGAGGAGGAAAGCAGGGGGCCUUCGGGCCUUGCGCUAGAAGAGCGGCCGAUGUCGGAUUAGCUAGUUGGUGAGGUAAAGGCUCACCAAGGCAACGAUCCGUAGCGGGCCUGAGAGGGUGAUCCGCCACACUGGGACUGAGACACGGCCCAGACUCCUACGGGAGGCAGCAGUGGGGAAUUUUGGACAAUGGGCGCAAGCCUGACCCAGCCAUGCCGCGUGAGUGAAGAAGGCCUUCGGGUUGUAAAGCUCUUUCAGCUGGGAAGAAAUCGCACUCACUAAUCCAGGGUGUGGAUGACGGUACCAGCAUAGGAAGCACCGGCUAACUACGUG